rnacentral:rRNA from 1 species
UACGUAGGGGCCUAGCGUUGUCCGGAUUUAUUGGGCGUAAAGAGCUCGUAGGCGGCUUGUCGCGUCGACUGUGAAAACCCGUGGCUCAACCAUGUGGUCUGCAGUCGAUACGGGCAGGCUAGAAUUCGGUAGGGGAGACUGGAAUUCCUGGUGUAGCGGUGAAAUGCGCAGAUAUCAGGAGGAACACCGGUGGCGAAGGCGGGUCUCUGGGCCGAUAUUGACGCUGAGGAGCGAAAGCGUGGGGAGCGAACAGG